UCCCUCAUAUCUCAGUUGUUAAAGAAUCUGCCUGCAAAGCAGGAGACCUUGGUUCGAUUCCUGGAUUGGGAA
rnacentral:tRNA from 1 species